ACAGAAGCUCACGUCUCUGUCAGAACCUCGGUAUUUCUGAUGCGCCUGGAAGCCAAUAUCCAAGCCGUUCUCAGCCACUGGAUUGGUGGGCUGCUUUGCUCAGAAACUCCUCGAUCAGGAAUCCCAAGCAUACGUUAGUGAUGACGGUCCCAAAACAAGGGACAUUUCUUAACCAUUCUAAAAACCCGUUUGCUCAUCAGUAACGCAAUAAGAGUUGCUUUCGGUCUUGGUUCAUAUAUUUUAUAUUUGAGCAAGGCAAUGUCCGCUGCUGGGGUUAGAAGUAAAUGGCUCCUCUUCAGCAAACUAGAUCAGUCCGUGGGACGUACGGCUUCCACUCGCAGUGUCCUGAACACUGGCUGGGCUUCCUGUGCGUUCUAGCCGGUUUUCUUUGGAGCCGCGGGUUUCUGCACGGCUCCGGGGUCGGGAUGGCAGAGGCUUCUCGGAACACGCGGAUCUAUGAGUGCAGUCCCCGGGGUAGCCACCAGGGAACGCCAUAGGCUUUCCCGCUGUGUUCCUCCUUGCCUUUUCCGUUUGGGCCAAGUAGUUUCUAUUGACCAUGACAUUACAGAUCAGAAGUGGGUGGGGUCAGAAAACACACCCUGGGAGAAGCUGGCAAAAUGCCCAGAACCGCCAUCACUAGGCCUGGGGUUUUCUUCUGUAGUGGAAUUCUCGUGCUUAUGUAGUACAGGGAGGAGCGCAGCGCAUUUCCGCCAAGACAGGUGAGACUGCAGUUCUGACCUGCGGGCCUCGAUGAAUUGCUUUAGGGCCCCUGGGCGCCGGCAGAGCCGAUCUCCUACACAAAGCAAGCGUGUUAUGUCUACGACCGAACGGGGACACUAAGAAAGAGCCCCAAAGGCCCUGCUUUCAUCCCAAAGAACAGCGCCUGUCUGCGUAGUUUCUACCUUGCUCUAUGAGUGCAUCAGUUUAAGAGAAGACAUGAGAUCAUGGGUUUAAGUGAGGCUUCAUCAUACUAAGACAACGUGAUCAGGUACAAGUCGGUGAUUAAAGUGCAGAACAACUUCCCCAAUACAGGAAUCCAGCUUCUGAAAAUAUCUGUGCUGGAAAACUUGCAAUGGAGGAAUGGAAGACUUGAGAAAGGGAGGGCUGGGAAACAAGAGCUGUGACUCACCCUGAAGACAUUCUUAUUCCCAACCUAUAUAACUCACAUACACUGGAGGAAAUAUCUUCAUGGAAUUAAAACCACAUGGAGUAACAUUUCACGUAAGCAGAAUUCAGGAAGGAUUUCAGUAAUUCCAUCCCAAACACACACAGGUAAAGGGAGUGAAGAUUUCUUCAGCAACAUGGUGGCAGAAAGAUCAUGAAAAGAUCUAGGCCAGGCAAGUAUGCAAACAAGACUGACUCUUCCUUUCCACUGGAGCUUUGGGUAAUUGCUCUCACAAUUCUAUGAUUUGCUGAAGCCACAGAAAAUCAGUUUUAAAACAGGAUUUCUACCCCUGGCUCACUACAUGACAAAUAAUUUUAUCCUGUAAUCUUCUGAUGUUAAACAAAGAUGGCCCUCAAUGUAAUUGUUACAGUGCCUCCUCCCCACUUCUGUUAGCUGUUGCUUCUCUGCCUCCCACGAGUUUAGUGUAAUCCCAGAACUUUGGGAGACCAAGGAGGGCAGAUCACUUGAGGUCAGGAGUCAGA